AAUUGUAUUCAAUUUUUGACAAUCCCGUGUUUACUCCUUUGUGAAAAAGAAGUGGAAGAAGUUGGGAAAGUAAAUUGCGGAAGCAUUACUUUCGCAUCUUCAGCCUCAACUAUUUGAAAGAGGACUUCAUAAUGCCUGUUUUGAACGAUGCAGCAGAAACUGCGAUAAAAGAAGCACUGAAAACAGCUAUACUCGAGAAAACUACAAAACUUUCUAAUGAUGGUGUGAAUAAAGGAGUAGCAUAUUUGACAGAUAAAGGUGUUGUUUACAUUAAGCAAAAUAUAACACCACAGGCAAGGGAGAUAUUUGAUUGUGAAUAUGAAAGUCUAGAAGCUAUUGCAGCAACAAACAUAAUAUAUGUCCCAAAGCCUCUUGCAAUUGUGGACAAUCCCUUGGGUGGAGCUUUGUUUGUUUCAGAGUAUAUUGAUAUGAAAACACUGAACCAGUUCUCUCAAGAACUUGGGCAGCAAUUGGCAAGAUUACACCUGCAUAAUGCUGUUCUGGGCAAACAAAAACUCAAAGGAUUUGUAGGGAAGGAGGAAAAUGUCCAAUUUGUAAAAGAAUUUGGUUUCCAUGUUAAAACACGAUUUGGGAACACACUUUUGGAAAAUGAAUGGUGCAGUGACUGGCCUACCUUUUUCGUGAGACACAGACUCAGUUAUCAAUUUAGAUUACUUGAGGAGAAUUAUGCAGAUGCUGAGGCACGAGAACUGUGGUCACAGCUACUUAGGAAACUACCACAGUUUUUUGAAGGCGCAGAUAUAAAACCAUCGUUAUUGCAUGGGAACUUACAAAGAGACAAUAUUGCGGAAACUAACACUCAUCCAGUCACUUUUCAUCCAGCAUCUUUUUUUGGUCAUCAAGAUUUUGAUCUGGUUACUUCACAAAUGUAUGGUGGUCUUGGACAAGCAUUCUAUAAUGCGUAUUAUGACAUAAUACCUAGGGCCCCGGGUUCAAGGAAAAGGAAUCAGAUCUAUAAAUUAUUUCAUCUCCUAAAUAAGUGGGAUCACGAGAAUAAGAUUAGAAUAAUUACUACAUCCACAGAGGCAUUCAAACAAUCAUUCUUCCCGCACUUCGUAUGUGAAUGGAACAGGAAGAAACCCUAAUAGCUGGUACAAUUGGACAUACUCUCUGCCGUGCACUUCACAGUGCAGAAUCAUGUGUUCCUCACUCCUGUAUCCACUAAAGAACCACCAGCAUGCAAGGAAGACAUAACACCUUUGUGAUCUACUUUGGAGAGAGGGGUGCAUGAUAGCUAUCCCAUUCUGUCAUCUUUACUGGAAGAUGCCACUGUUGUGCAAGAAGAAUGGUGCAAGAGACCCUUGAAUAUGAUACUGGGCUGAUAUUUAUCCAUUCCGAAGCAAGUGGAAGCUGUUUUGAAUGCUAACAGUUUUCCUGCACCGUAUUAGUCAUGGAACCAGUCUGGAGAAGAACACAAGAAGAAAGCUAUAUCUUUAAUGAAGUUUUUGUUGAAAGGACCAUAAGAAUUCACUACUAUUACAUAAAAAAUUACAGUUAAAAAUAAACACCAUUUUACUAAAUUAAUUAUUUGCACGCUGUAUUUAUCUGAAUCGAAAUGUAGCAUUCAGUUUUAGCUUUCAGAAAUUGUGGUAUGUCUGCUUCAAUGUAAAGGAUUUUUGAGAUUCCCGAUUACCUGAACAUAAACAUGUUUUUGAAAUUUUAAAAUAGUUCGCGGAGCUGUGUAGUGGGUGAGAUAACAGAAGAAAUAAUAUAUUUUUGGAUUGUACAUUUUAUAAAUUUUAUGUUAAGUGAACUGAUGUUAUUUAUUUGUUGUAUACUUGGAUUGCAUGCAUAGGCAAUAACAAAGAUUCAUCACGCAAAUGGCGCCAUAUUCCUAACUAUGAACACAAGUAACAUUCCAAUUUGCAAACAUAGUAACAAAUUAAAUAACAUUGUAACUAAUAAUUAUGCUUUAAAAAUGAUUUGUAUGCAAACACUAAUGAAACUAAUAAAAAGUAUGGAGGA